rnacentral:tRNA from 1 species
GCCCGGGUGGCGGAAUUGGUAGACGCGCUAGAUUCAGGUUCUAGUAGUCGCUAAGGCUGUGGAGGUUCGAGUCCUCUCUCGGGCACCA